UACAGAGGGUGCGAGCGUUAAUCGGAAUUACUGGGCGUAAAGCGUGCGUAGACGGUUAUUUAAGUCGGAUGUGAAAGCCACGGGCUCAACCUGGGAAUUGCAUUCGAGACUGAAUAGCUAGGGUGCGGUAGAGGGAAGCGGAAUUUCCGGUGUAGCGGUGAAAUGCGUAGAUAUCGGAAGGAACAUCAGUGGCGAAAGCGGCUUCCUGGACCAGCACCGACGUCAGGCACGAAAGCGUGGGGAGCAAACAGG
rnacentral:rRNA from 1 species